UUUGACAGCAUACUAAGUGAACUUUUGCUUAAUUUGCUCAUGCAACAUAGCCGACAUUCUUGGUAGAGGUUGUCAUAAUCUUCUUGCACAUGCUAACAAUUCAAAUAUGAAUUCCUUAAAUCAUUUAUUUGCAGCUCUAUUCGAUGUGGGCACCUUGACUAUCAUGUUUAUGAAAAUUCCCCUUGAAAAUGGUGCUUAUCUUUUCUAUUUUAAUUGUGUUCUCCUUUUCUCUUGCUGCAUUUUUCUCCUCUUCCUUCCAGUCAUUCCAGUUGACAGUGAGUGUGAUUUCCAAGAUAUGUUAACAAUAUUGGCGAGAUGCUGUUGGUGUUGUAUCUGUAAGAAAGAUGUGUCAAGACAUUAGACCAUUGGAUUUUGCAUUGUUUAUUUGAACCAAUUCAGAUUUGUGGUUGCUUCUCUUUCAGCUAUCAGGGUUGUGUUUUAAAAAUUUAUGGUGUUUAUAGACAAGGUCAGUGGUGCGAAAAGCAACCUCUUUGAGCUUGUUGUAGACUUAUUGGAAAGAACGUAAUAGAGCUUUUGUGGUGGGGUGGGUAUGGAGAUCUCCGUGAGCAGGCUUUCGCAUCAGUUUUCUAGAAUUGUCUGUGUUUUUGUGUUUUAGCGGGUUGCAGCAAGUUGCUUUUUUAGGUUUGGUCUUGAAGGCAUGUAGCUUAGUUUUCCUUUUUUGUCUGGUUCGUUCCCCCUUUCUAGGUGUUCUGGUAUUGUGGGGGAUGUAUCUGGUUAGGGACUAAUUUCUUGGCCCCUUCAGUGGGUGUUUGUCUAUAGAGAACAGAUGCUGAUUUUCUACAAUUAGGAACUUCCUAGCAUGCAGAGUAAGUAUCCCUUGCCUUAGUGUACAAGAGAGGGGAGCAAAAAAUUGAGAGAGCAUGUGUUAUUAUGGAAUGGUUAAGAGCUAGGUAGCACAAGUGUUGUGCCUUUUGGUUUUCUUGCUUGCCUAUAAUUAUUCAAAUUGAAAAAAAGGAAGGAAAAGAGAAAGGGAACAAUUAAUGGGUUAAAUCUAACUCAAUUGUUGGUUUGGUUGGUUUAUUUAUUAGCUCUCACUUAUAUUAUAAUCAUUGAACACUACUUUCUUUAAUUUUUUUCUACAGUUGUGCAGUAUGAAGCACGCUGAAGGCAAUGUGAAAGCUCAAGCAUAUAGAGUUGGUUGAUUCUGUAUCACUUGGUAGAAGGAUGUGCAUCUAUUUUGAUACUAAUGCUGGUCGUAUUAUUAUAAGGUUUCUGUUGGAUUGUCUCAAACAAUUACUUGUCAACAAUGAAAUGAACAGGCAUUGAUAGGUACAAUGAAAUGUACUUGAUAAAUUCUAUUGGCUUGAUAUUUCUUACUAGAAAUCUUUUUGUAUUUAUCUUUACUAUACUUUAUAGCAUCCCAUUGGUAAUGAUAAGAUAUGCAACCAAUAGAAAUGCUUUGCCCUCCAUCAGUGGCCAACCUCAUUCUAAAUAACUUACUAAGCUCCCAUAUUCUAGAAGUUCAAAUAUCCAUAAAAAUUAAAUAUUCAUAAAAAUAAGGGGAAUGAUUUAAAUUUUAUUCCCCUUUGUGUGAGUUUGCAUGAAUUUUAGAUUACCAUGAUUGCAG
rnacentral:lncRNA from 1 species